GUGUCUGUGGGUUAGGAAAGCAAACAAAAAGAAUUAGAAACAGCCCCCCCCCCCAUUCUAUUGUUGAGGGUGCUGUGGAGUUAACUACAUGGAUGCAUACAAAAUAAAGUUUAUACUAAAGAGAAACUAUGGGGGAAUGACCACAAUGAGGGAGAUUAGAAUAUUUGUGUAGACUAAUCACAAGGAAAUUAGUGCCUUUUAGUUGAUGCACUAAUUUAAUGCAAAAAAAGUAAGCAUUAAAUGGGGGCAAAUUUUGGGAAUGAGGUGCAGACUGCUUUAGCUGUUGGCAGUUCUUCUGUGCUCCUUGGUGGAAGUUGGCCCAGGAAAAGGUUCUGCCAUGCCUGUUUUGUAAAUACACUGGAGCGGAGGGGGG